CCUACGGGAGGCAGCAGUGGGGAAUAUUGGGCAAUGGGCGCAAGCCUGACCCAGCAACGCCGCGUGAAGGAAGAAGGCUUUCGGGUUGUAAACCUCUUUUGACAGGGAAGAGCAGAAGACGGUACGUGUCGAUUAAGCUACGGCUAACUACUUGCCAGCAGCCGCGGGAAUACGUAGGUGGCAAGCGUUGUCCGGAUUUACUGGGUGUAAAGGGCGUGUAGCCGGGCUGACAAGUCAGAUGUGAAAUCCGGGGGCUCAACCCCCGAACUGCAUUUGAAACUGUUGGUCUUGAGUGUCGGAGAGGCGGGCGGAAUUCCUAGUGUAGCGGUGAAAUGCGUAGAUAUUAGGAGGAACACCAGUGGCGAAGGCGGCCUGCUGGACGGCAACUGACGGUGAGGCGCGAAAGCGUGGGGAGCAAACAGGAUUAGAUACCCCAGUAGUC
rnacentral:rRNA from 1 species